UGCAUGUCUAAGUAUGAACGCUCCUCAUUGUGAAACUGCGAAUGGCUCAUUAAAUCAGUUAUAGUUUAUUUGAUGGUACCUCCUACUUGGAUAACCGUGGUAAUUCUAGAGCUAAUACAUGCAGCAAGUCCCGACUUCUGGAAGGGACGUAUUUAUUAGAUACAAAACCAAUGCAGCUUCGGCUGGUCCCUUGGUGAUUCAUGAUAACUGCUCGAAUCGCAUGGCCUUGCGCUGGCGAUGGUUCAUUCAAGUUUCUGCCCUAUCAACUUUCGAUGGUAGGGUAUUGGCCUACCAUGGUUGCAACGGGUGACGGAGAAUUAGGGUUCGAUUCCGGAGAGGGAGCCUGAGAAACGGCUACCACAUCCAAGGAAGGCAGCAGGCGCGCAAAUUACCCAAUCCCGACUCGGGGAGGUAGUGACAAAAAAUACUGAUACCGGGCUCAACAAGUCCGGCAAUCGGAAUGAGAACAAUUUAAACCCCUUAUCGAUGAACAAUUGGAGGGCAAGUCUGGGCCAGCAGCCGCGGUAAUUCCAGCUCCAAUAGCGUAUAUUAAAGUUGUUGCAGUUAAAAAGCUCGUAGUUGGAUUUCGGGGCGGNCCCGNCGGNCCGUCGUGAGACUGGNACUGACGGGCCUCCCUUCCUCUCGAAG
rnacentral:rRNA from 1 species